UACGAAGGGGGCUAGCGUUGCUCGGAAUCACUGGGCGUAAAGGGUGCGUAGGCGGGUUUUUAAGUCAGGGGUGAAAUCCUGGAGCUCAACUCCAGAACUGCCUUUGAUACUGAAGAUCUUGAGUUCGGGAGAGGUGAGUGGAACUGCGAGUGUAGAGGUGAAAUUCGUAGAUAUUCGGAAGAACACCAGUGGCGAAGGCGACUCACUGGACACGUAUUGACGCUGAGGUGCGAAAGCGUGGGGAGCAAACAGG
rnacentral:rRNA from 1 species